GAUGAACGCUGGCGGCGUGCCUAAUACAUGCAAGUCGAGCGAACAGACGAGGAGCUUGCUCCUCUGACGUUAGCGGCGGACGGGUGAGUAACACGUGGAUAACCUACCUAUAAGACUGGGAUAACUUCGGGAAACCGGAGCUAAUACCGGAUAAUAUAUUGAACCGCAUGGUUCAAUAGUGAAAGACGGUUUUGCUGUCACUUAUAGAUGGAUCCGCGCCGCAUUAGCUAGUUGGUAAGGUAACGGCUUACCAAGGCAACGAUGCGUAGCCGACCUGAGAGGGUGGUCGGCCACACUGGAACUGAGACACGGUCCAGACUCCUACGGGAGGCAGCAGUAGGGAAUCUUCCGCAAUGGGCGAAAGCCUGACGGAGCAACGCCGCGUGAGUGAUGAAGGUCUUCGGAUCGUGAAACUCUGUUAUUAGGGAAGAACAAAUGUGUAAGUAACUAUGCACGUCUUGACGGUACCUAAUCAGAAAGCCACGGCUAACUACGUG
rnacentral:rRNA from 1 species